rnacentral:misc_RNA from 1 species
GACGUGCAACAAUUGGAUACGUGCCUUUAUACGUCGUUCGCCUUUCGUGUAGGCCGAUUCUGUUCUUUUCUACUUUGGGUUUUAGUUGUAGUAAUCGCUGUUCGAUGCCCGGGUCGCUGGUUUAUUACGGUAACAUUAUACUUGGUGCGGGCCAUUUAUUUCAAUAGCAAAAUGAUUUUUCUGCUUUAGUGAAGACGAACCUUAGAAAGUUAAAAGUGUUGCAAUUUUAAGUGAAACCUUGAAGUGGUGUACCACCAGAGGAGAUGGUACUUUUGGAUAUAUAAGGUCAUGAAUUCACAAUAUGUCCUCACAUACCCUUACAACCGUCCAGGAAACUGAGUUAGACCUAAUCGACUUCAACGUAGGAUCACCAGUGCUUCCGAGAAGAUCAUCAAUAUCAGAAAUCAAUUUUGAUCCCCACGACCUCAUCGAUUCAGAACUGCCCUUAUUUGAUCCGCAAUUAUAUUCAAAUAAUGAUACCAUUCCGAAACCUAGCGUAGAUGUAGAAGAUAUUUUAAUAGAUAUUGAUGAUUUUGAUCGAGACAGUUUAGAUGAUAAUGGAUCAGAUGAGUUUUUAGAUGUUUGCGAAGGAGUUGAGGGGGAUGAUGACCACGUCUUGGGUGUGGAUAAUUUCGAGGUAUUGCUGGUCUUAAAAAAUCUUGAUGAUCUCCUCAAUGCCACCUUAGAUGAGUCAAGCAAUAUUAGUGACUGCGAACAGACUGAUUUAAAUAAAAACCAAUUAAUAGAUAUUGAUAUAAAAGAAUGUCUAGAAGAUCUCGAUAACUAUCUUGAAGCUAUUGAUACGUCUGAUAACGAUGACUCUGACAGUACUGAUCAGCGAACUGAUGAAGUAACUUCACCGGAAGGGGAAGCGUAUCAUCAGGAAUUAAACGAUGAACAGGCCCGAGUAAAACUGCGGAAAAUCGAGGAAAAUUACUGGAAGUUUUUAACAUCUGGGAUAGUCAAUAGGGGCUAUAUCGACUACGAAAACAAUGGAAACGUUACAGUGGAUGACCGUGUUAUAUGUAGGCCGUCAUCAGCGUGUGCCGCGAUCGACGAUUCAUGUAAUAGGAAAAAACAACGGCGUAGACCCAAGACCAUAAGCGGAAAACAUACAGAAGUGAGACGGUCGAUAAUCAGGCGGCAAUCCCUCAGCGACAACCAUAACGCACCAAACUCCCGGAUAUCCGGACCAGAUGCUACUUCGCCCAUUAGGAACCCCAUUGAACAAUUACCGGUUAACUGCGAGCGCCUUGUCCACGGUGCUUACGCUCCGGAUCACCCUUGCGGAACGGCCAUUGUCGAACCGCAGAACGAGCAAAGUAAAUCGGACAGUUCUUCCACAACGGCGGUUCUUGACGAAACAGAAACGCGCAACAACAGUAGAAAUUCAUGGUUGCGAAAUUCGAUGAGACGCUUGCAACAGUUGAGUUUACCAGUGGUAGAUCGCACGGAGGUCGUACGAAGUGGUGACAGUGAGGGUGAGAGAGCAGUCGGAGUGAGUACUGAAGAGUUGAGGCCUGUGAGUGCACCAUCUAGUUUGUCUUCUUUAAAUAGAUCACAAGUCCCAUCUUUUCGAGGCAGGUCGAAUGUAGCAGCUACUCGGUCUGCCCAACGAAGACCGAGGAGCAGUUCAGCUUCUUCGAGGUCUAGGAGACGAGAAAGUCUUUCUUCCACGGACACGAGCGUCCUUUCCAGCGUAGAUAGUAACAUCAGCCAUAAUAUGCCUCCGUUGCGGGGAACUCCGGAAGAAAACACGGAGAAUACUGAGAGGAAUAGUCAACCGAGUUGCAGACUACCCCAGCAUACGACUGAAUCCACCGAAGUCAACAGAUCGUCAGAGAAAUGGCCCCACGGCAUAAACUCGAUGCUUGCCUGUCUAAGUUGCACCCUGGGCCUCUUCAACAUAUCCCGCUUCGCCAUUCUGACAAUACACUUUGGAGCCAACUUUAUUUUCCAAUUUAUACUUCUCUCGUUGGUUUUCGGACUACCUCUUUUUACUUUACAAAUGUGCCUUGGACAACAACUGGGAACCGGAGUGAUCGACAUGUGGAAGAUAUCCCCGUUGUUUCAGGGCGUAGGCGUAGCGUUACUCGCCACUCAAGCAGCCAUAGGCCUUUAUAGUAUUAUCGGAGUUUCUUGGAUGUUGGUGUAUUUUCGGGAUUCGUUUAAAACCUCUUUGAAUAGAUAUAGAUGGGCUGAGCCUGUUUAUUAUUAUAGAAGAGACGCACAAUCAUUUAAUACCUCCAUAAAAGUGAUCGAGACUGUGCCUGAUUAUUUUAGUAGCGUGGUACUCCAACGGUACCACCUGCAAAACAGUACUGCGAGCGCUAACAUAAGAUUUCAAUCUGCCUUCAAUUUAGCUGUGGUAUGGAUAAUCGUGUUUGUUUCUUUAAGCAAAGGGGUUCGAUCUUAUGGGAAGGUUAUGUGGGUUUUUACAUUUAUACCAGUGAUCGCCACCGUGUUGUUGUGUGGUAAAAUAAUGAAUCUGAUGCCAACAGAAUACGUAGGAAUAUACUUUCCAGAGACCUCUUGGGAAGAAUUCUUUUUAAAUUCUAGAAGUUGGCUGGCUGCGGCACAAGAAACCUUCUUGACGUGGGGAUUAUUGGGAGCAACCACGAUGCAAAUAACGGCUCAGAACAAAUUUAAAAAUUUACUGCGAAGGGACUCCACUUUAGUGGCUGCUCUAACGUUUUUUAUGCUUAUUACGAUGUCGUUAGUGGCAAAUACUUGUACUCAUAUUCUGAAGUCUUCUGGGUAUAGCUACUAUCCAAGUUCUUUUGAACAAAAAUCUUCAUACCAUUUUAUGCGACACAACAGCAACUCAUUUCCACAAUCCAUUUUAAACACCCCAAUCAGAUACAUGCGACAUAACUCGUAUAUCGUUGGAGAGAAGGUCAUUAGGCCCGGGGCAGAUAACAGACAGGAAAGCGGAUAUCAGGCUCUACGACUAGCAACCGAACUUCUACCAGCAAUAUUUGCGACUGUUGAUAGCGAACAACUAACGCCAUUUUGGUCAGUUCUCACGUAUCUUAUUUUUAUAUUAUUUGGCAUUGGGCAGCAACUAGCGAUUUGGCACUGCGUGAUCAACGGAUUUAUUGCUAUCAACGCGAAAGUGUUAAAAAAAUGGCAGUCGACAAUUACGUUUUUUUCUUGUGCUGUUAGUUUUGUUUUGGCGCUACCAUUAACAACAGAGAUGGGAAUAUACGUCCUUUAUUUCAUGGAUUACACCAUAGGAAGUAUUUGGUGGUUGGCUAUUGUGCUAAUUUUACAAAUAAUGGCAGUAUUCCUAAUAAGAGGCAGACCUUAUAGUGGAGAUACGAUCGUAACAGCUUUAUUUAACCCUAACAGUCAUAGCUGCCUCAUCAGCUGGGCACCACCUUUGUUAUCUUUUACUUGGAAUGUUGUGCUUCCUGUAGCACUAAUAGUGUUAUGCAUAGGCACGUUUAAGAACGGAAACUUCAGAGAAAUGUUCAUUUGGCAUCAUCCAACUUUCACCGAUUAUUGGCCUCUUUGGGCCAGACAAUUAGGAUCAAUAUUGCAGCUUUUACCUAUUCUUUGCGUUCCGUUUGUUGCGGUCAUUCAAAGUUAUCGAUAUUUGAAUAAUGGACCUUCGGAUAUUUUGGAUUUGGUUUGAAUAGUUUGUGACAUUGAUUUUUCUUUGCAUGCUUCUCUGUAGGAGCCGGACGAUCCGUCUACACAUCGUAUUCAGCUACUUUACCGUCCUCCAAUCGGCGAGCACAUGGAACCCACCCCCACGGCAACCACAG